CCUACGGGUGGCAGCAGUGGGGAAUAUUGGGCAAUGGGCGCAAGCCUGACCCAGCAACGCCGCGUGAAGGAAGAAGGCCCUCGGGUUGUAAACUUCUUUUGUCAGGGACGAAACAAAUGACGAUACCUGACGAAUAAGCCACGGCUAACUACGUGCCAGCAGCCGCGGUAAUACGUAGGUGGCAAGUGUUAUCCGGCUUUACUGGGUGUAAAGGGCGUGUUGGCGGGUGAGCAAGUCAGAUGUGAAAUUCCAGGGCUCAACCCUGGAACUGCAUUUGAAACUGUUUUUCUUGAGUGAUGGAGAGGAAGGCGGAAUUCCGUGUGUAGCGGUGAAAUGCGUAGAUAUACGGAGGAACACCAGUGGCGAAGGCGGCCUGCUGGACAUUAACUGACGCUGAGGCGCGAAAGCGUGGGGAGCAAACAGGAUUAGAUACCCCAGUAGUC
rnacentral:rRNA from 1 species